rnacentral:lncRNA from 1 species
ACACACACACACACACACACACACACACAUGUGCACAAACUCCUGAGAUCUCUGGAGAACUAAAUGCCAGUGAGAAGGUGGCUCCUCCUACCUGGCCUCUGCCUGUCUUGAUCUGUGCCAGACUUGUCAGACAAAAAUGGCGCAGACCAGUGUGGCUGCCCAACACUUUUAUUUCUCACAGUUUUGAUGUCAGAGAAAUCCCAGACCAAGAUACCCAAAGACUGGUCAUUUGGUAAGAAACAGCCGGCUUCCUGCUUCCUGGUUUUUUGUUGACCUCCCGAUGCCUGCUCAACCCAGGGAUUGCAUGUAGGGCCUCAUGCAUGCAAGGCGAGUGCUCUGCUGAGGCACAAGGUCCCGGGCCCUAUAUUUGGUUUUGAAACAGGGUGACCAAAUUACCCAGAAUAGCCUUGAAUUCACUCUGCAGCCCAGGGAGGCCGCAAGCCUAUAACCCUCCGCUGUCGGAGUAACUGAAAUCACAGGCCUGGCUUUUACAAGGCCACUGAUCCCACUGAGAAGAACUCCAUCCUCGUUUCCCAAAGCUCCUCCUCCAAACAGCAACACUCUGGGAAUUGAGUUUGAACCUGUAAAUUUGGGAGUCGGUAGCACUGUCCAGUGUCUCCAAGGACAGUAUAACAAUCAUCUCCUCUUAGAAGCAACAGCUGGGUAAUCAUCUCCUCAGACAAGAAGGAGCCCUGCCUCCCACGGGCUGGGCCCAGGAAGGAAAAGCCUGAGGAAAAUCUGGUCCCGUAGCUCAAGACACUCAGCCUCCUUGCACCAAUGCGGUAUGGAAUACAGGUGGCGGUGUGAAGUCUCUUCUCUCCUCAGCCCAGCAGGUCACCUGUGCUUGCAGACUUUAGAGGGCAUUGAAGUCAGUCAGAGGAAAAAGCACAGCACGGUCCACAGCCACUUGGUGAGGAAAGGGUUUGUUUGGCUUACAGGUUACAGUCUAUCGCCAGAGGCAGGAACCCAAGGCAAGGACCAGGAGGCAGGACCUGAAGCAGAGGCCAUGGAGAAGUGCUGCUCACUGGCAUGAGUCUCCCACCCCAGGACCACCUGCUGAGGAGUAGCACCACCCCUUAUGUGCUAGGCCUGCCCAUAUCAAUCAUUAAUCAAGAAAAUGCCCUACAGACAUGAUUAUGGGCAAUCUGACGGAGACAUUUUAACUAAGGUCCCUGUUCUGAGAUAACACUAGCUUGUGUCAAGUUGGCCAAAUAAAACUCCUCCAGGACAGGCAGUCGUGGAGAAAAGAAAUCCCCUUCACGUCCCUGCCAGGCUACAGGGCCAGACUUGUUCAGAGUAGAUCCAUGGAGUUAGCCACACACACCAGCAGGAAGAGACC